GCAAUCACGUUUCCUUAUCACUUUUCCAGCCAGCUUUGUGACUCUAAGUGUUGGACGGAGAACUGAUAAGGGUAGGUGAUUGG
rfam:Cricetulus griseus cell line CHO-K1, whole genome shotgun sequence.